rnacentral:rRNA from 1 species
AUUGAACGCUGGCGGCAUGCCUUACACAUGCAAGUCGAACGGUAACAGGCCGCAAGGUGCUGACGAGUGGCGAACGGGCGCGUAAUGCAUCGGAACGUGCGCAGUCGUGGGGGAUAACUGGUCGAAAAAGCAGAUAAUACCCCAUACGACCAGAGGGUGAAAGCGGGGGACCGGAAGGCCUCGCGCCAUUUGAGCGGCCGAUGUCGGAUUAGCUAGUUGGUGGGGUAAAGGCCUACCAAGGCAACGAUCUGUAGGUGGUCUGAGAGGACGACCAGCCACACUGGGACUGAGACACGGCCCAGACUCCUACGGGAGGCAGCAGUGGGGAAUUUUGGACAAUGGGCGCAAGCCUGAUCCGGCAAUGCCGCGUGCAGGAAGAAGGCCUUCGGGUUGUAAACUGCUUUUGUCAGGGAAGAAAUCUUCUGGGCUAAUACCCCGGGAGGAUGACGGUACCUGAAGAAUAAGCACCGGCCAACUACGUGCCAGCCGCCGCGGUAACAC